UACGUAGGGUGCGAGCGUUGUCCGGAAUUAUUGGGCGUAAAGGGCUCGUAGGCGGUCUGUUGCGUCUGCUGUGAAAACUCAGGGCUUAACCCUGAGCUUGCAGUGGGUACGGGCAGACUAGAGUGCGGUAGGGGAGACUGGAAUUCCUGGUGUAGCGGUGAAAUGCGCAGAUAUCAGGAGGAACACCGGUGGCGAAGGCGGGUCUCUGGGCCGAUACUGACGCUGAGGAGCGAAAGCGUGGGGAGCGAACAGG
rnacentral:rRNA from 1 species